AGUUGCGUGGUCUAAUGGUCAUGACGUCUGAUUCACAGCGAAUCUAUAGAUAUCCUCAGAAGGUUCCCGGUUCGAUCCCGGGCGCGACUA